rnacentral:rRNA from 1 species
GACGAACGCUGGCGGCGUGCUUAACACAUGCAAGUCGAACGGAAAGGCCCUGCUUUUGUGGGGUGCUCGAGUGGCGAACGGGUGAGUAACACGUGAGUAACCUGCCCUUGACUUUGGGAUAACUUCAGGAAACUGGGGCUAAUACCGGAUAGGAGCUCCUGCUGCAUGGUGGGGGUUGGAAAGUUUCGGCGGUUGGGGAUGGACUCGCGGCUUAUCAGCUUGUUGGUGGGGUAGUGGCUUACCAAGGCUUUGACGGGUAGCCGGCCUGAGAGGGUGACCGGCCACAUGGGGACGGGGAUACGGCCCAGACUCCUACGGGAGGCAGCAGGGGGGAAUAUUGCACAAUGGGCGGAAGCCUGAUGCGGAAACGCCGCGUGCGGGAUGACGGCCUUCGGGUUGUAACCGCUUUCGCCUGUGACGAAGCGUGAGUGACGGUAAUGGGUAAAGAAGCACCGGCUAACUACGUG